AUGUGAUUAUAUACUGAUUCAUGGGCUAUAGCCAAUGGUUUAGCUGGAUGUUCAAAGACUUGGAACAAGCAUGAUUGGAAAAUUGGUGACAAAGAAAUGUGGAGAGGAGGUAUAUGGAUGGACCUCUCUGAGUGGUCAAAAACUGUGAAGAUAUUUGUAUCUUAUGUGAAUUUCCAUCAAUGGGUGACCUCAGCAAAGGAGAAGAUUAAUAAUCAAGUGGAUAGGAUGAAUCGUUCUGUGGACACCACUCAGCCUCUUCUCACAGCCAGCUCUGUCAUUGCCCAAUGGGUCCAUGAACAAAGUGGCCAUUGUGGCAGGGAUGGAGAUUAUGCAUGGGGUCAGCAAUCUGUACUUCCACUCACCAAGGCUGAUCUGGCUAUGACCAAUUUGCCAGGAGCAGAGACCAGCACUGAGCCCUCGAUAUGGCACCAUUCCUCAAGGUAAUCAGCCAACUAACUGGUGGCAGACUAAUUAUAUUGGCCCUUUUCCAUCAUGGAAAGGGCAGAGGUUUGUCCUCACUGGAAUAGACACCAACUCUGGAUAUGGGUUUGUCUAUCCUGCACACAAUGCUUCUGCCAAGACUACCAUCCUUUGACUCACAGAAAGCCUUAUCCACUGUCAUGGUAUUCCACACAGCAUUGCCUUUGACCAAGGCACUCACUUUACGGCUGAAGAAGUGUGGCUGUGGACUCAUGUUCAUAGAAUUCACUGAUCUUACCAUGUUCCCCAUCAUCCUGAAGCAGCUGGACUGAUAGAAUGGUGGAAUGGCCUUUUCAAGUCACAAUUACAGUGCCAUCUAGGUGACAAUACUUUUCAGGGCUGGGGCAAAGUUCUCCAGAAGGCCAGGAAUGCUCUAAAUCAGCAUCCAAUAUAUGGUACUUUUUCUCCCAUAGCCAGGAUUCACAGGUCCCAAAAUCAAGGGGUGGAAGUGGAAGUGACACCACUCACCAUCACCCCUAGUGAUCCACUAGCAAAAUGUUUCCUUCUUGUUCCUAUGAGGUUACAUUCUGCUGGCCUAGAGGUCUUAAUACCAGAAGAGACACAUGUUUCAAUUAAACUGGAAGUUAAGAUUGCCUCCUAGACACUUUGGGCUCCUCCUACCUUUAAGUCAACAAGCUAAGAAAGGAGUUACAGUGUUUGCUGGGGUCAUUGACCCGGACUAUCAAGAUGAAAUCAGUCUACUACUCCACAGUGGGGGUAAGGAAGAGUAUGCACAGAAUACAGGCAAUCCCUUGGGGCAUCUCUUAGUAUUACCAUGCCCUGUGAUUAAAGUCAAUGGGAAACUAUAACAGCUCAAUCGAGGCAGGACUAACAAUGGCUCAGACCGUUCAGAAAUGAAGGUUUGGGUCACUCCACCAGGAAAAACAACCAUAAUAUGCUUGAAGUCUGUAUAUAAAUACUUGCAUAGAUUCAUAAUUAAAUUAACUAAAUUUCCUCAUUUGAAAAUGUUGUAAUUCUAAGAUAAGCUAUGUUUUGCAUAUAUAUUUUAACAUAGUUCACCUAUCUCAUUUUUUUAAAUGAGAAUACAUAAAAUUACAUAAAGAAAAGAAACCACAUGAAAAAGCAAAUGCUUUCUAGGCCAAGGAAUAAGUCUAACUUUAUCCAAUAGUGAAAAUGAAAAGUUAAUUAGGUGAUUUAAAGCACUGGAAAUUUGACAGUAGCUAUUUGAAUAAAACACCCACAUCACAAUCAAAGGUGAAAUCAAAUAGGAACAUGAAGCUAUGUUCUAGAAAAACAUUACAUUAACAUUAAUAUAGAUAAAAGUGAAUUUUUAUCACCACAUUGGUUUUAACUUGUCUUUGUUUCUUUGUAAUUUGUGUCAAAAGAAAAUAAAUCUUGGGACCCAAAAAUGACUAAGCUAAAGGGAAAAGUCAAGCUGGGAACUUCUUCAGGCAAACCUGCCUCCCAUUCUAAUCAAAGUCAUCCCUCCGAGGCUCACCUGAGACAAAUACAUGUUUGAUUACUCCCUAUCCCCUAUUGUUUAUGUAUAAAUGCAGAUUCAGUGAGCCAGACUAAAUUGUGUAUUCAGUGGAAGGCUGAUCAAAGACUCAAAAGAAUCCAACCUUUUUUCUCUUAUCUACUUCUAACUUCAAAGCCCCACUUCAUGUUGUCCCACCUUACUGAACCAAACCAGUGUACAUCUUACACAUAUUGAUUGAUGUUUCAUGUCUCCCUAAAAUGUAUAAAAGCAAACUAUACCCCUGACCACCUUGGGCAUAUGUCUCAGGGCUUCCUGAGGCUGUAUCACAGGUGUAUUUUUGACCUUGGCAAAAUAAACUUUCUAAAUUGACUGAGACCUGUGUCAGAUAUUUUGCAUUCACAAUCAGUAACCACAGAGGGAUUCUGAGGGGAGGUGCCCCUGACUUUGACGAAUCUCCUAUAGGUGCUUGGUACCAGCUUGAGCUUUUUUAUGGCUCAAACCAAUAGGGCAAUUUGCUGAGGCCUGUAAGCUCCCCCUCCAGAAAAUCCCUGAUCUCCCCAAAUUUGGUUAAGAUCUAAAGCUUAUUUUGCUGUACAACUCCUCCUUUUGGAGUUUCACUUGCUUCUUACAGGGAAGGCAAGUUUUCCUGCUUCCAUGAUGUUGGAAGGAAGGAAUCAAGCUUGACUUGAAGAUCCAAUAAAAGCCCACUGGAAAAACCAGCCUGAUGCCUUGUCUGCAGAGUUCCUGUAUAGGAUUUCUGACCUGUGAUAACUAAAGAAUGUCACUUUCUCACAAGUCCAGCAGCCCCAAGUUAUCUUGGGACCUCAAGAGGAGAGGAAUUUGCUCACCUCGUAGGUAUUUGAGGGUACAAACCCAUGGCUGGGCUCAGCUGAAAAAAGAAGUCUUAUUUGAAAGAGUUCCAUAAAAGCGGAUUUAAAAGCCUAUGUGAAAAAUAAUUAUCCUUGCUUCACUUUAUACAGAUAAUAAUGCCAAGCAUAAGAAUAGAGCUUGUUCUUUUACAAAUAAAUUGGUGCUAUUAAUAUUUUUUAAUAAGAAUAGGAGACUGAAGAGAGAGAAAUUAUAUUUCAAAACAAACUAUUACACCUAUUAUAUUCUACUCUUGCCUAAUGUUUUUCAAUUUUUAUUAUUUUCAGCAGUUUGAACUGAAUUCUAAAAUGUUUCCUGGCUACACUUCUCCAAAGUCAUGUCUCCAAAUUGUUUUCUUCUUUCUUUUCCCACUUUUUCCCCAUUUUUCCUAAUUUGAAAUAACUGUAAACUAAGCUGUGCUUUCUUAAAGCCCUGCAAAAUAAAGCUACACAACUUAAACUUUAGAAGGAAAUAACAGCAACCUAUUUACAUACAUAAGCCAAUCUCAUACACGCCUAAUGAUAUAUGAACUUCAGAGUAAUAUGGCCUAUAUUGAUUUUCCAAGAUUGUUCUUUUUUGUUUGUUGUUGUUUUUCUCCCUUCUUCCCCCCAUUUGCCCUUUGUAGGAAAUGAGACUUCACAACCUGCUAAAAAUGAGCUUUCCUCGUAAUGUGAGACCUACCUGUCUAUUAAUAAACUAUUCCAACCAUGA
rnacentral:lncRNA from 1 species